rnacentral:tRNA from 1 species
AUAACUGUGUCAGAUUAUAUGAGUUAGCUUUAAGCGCUAAUUAUGAGGCUAUUACCUUCGGUUAUU